AGAGCACGUCAGCGAUCGCAUCUCCGAGCACUUAGGACUAAACAACAAAUCUAAAGCAGCGCUAUAUUCCUCCAGAGGACGUGGAAUAUCUACACCCCAGUGUCACCCACAGGGGUGUCUGCCUGUCAACAGACAAAGAAAAUAAAGUCUCACACCCGUAGCCUGUG